rnacentral:lncRNA from 1 species
GGGUUUAGAGUUGAUGAUUUGAGGUUUACGGUUUAGUGUUUAGAGUUGAUGUUUUAGGGUUUAGAUUUGAAGGUGUAGGGUUUAGGGUUUAGAGUUGAUGUUUUGUGGUUUAGGGUUUAGAGUUGAUGUUUUGGGGUUUAAGGUUUAGAGUUUAGAGUUGAUGUUUCAGGGUUUAGAUUUGAAGGUUUAGGGUUUAGAGUUGAUGAUUUCAGGGUUUAGGGUUUAGAGUUUAGAGUUGAUGUUUCAGGGUUUAAAUUUGAAGGUUUAGUAUUUAGAGUUGAUGUUUCGGUUUAGGGUUUAAAGUUGAUGUUUCAUAGUUUAGGUUUUAGAGUUGAUGAUUUAGUGUUUUGAGUUGAUGAUUUAGGGUUAAGAUUAGUUAGCCAUAUAUUUUUUUUUUUGUCAAAGUUAAUCAAUGGGUUAUAAAUGUCUUUUACCAUUUAUUAAAAAUAAC